rnacentral:rRNA from 1 species
AGAAUCAACGCUGGCGGCGUGCCUAACACAUGCAAGUCGCACGAGAAAGGGACUUCGGUCCUGAGUACAGUGGCGCACGGGUGAGUAACACGUGAAUCAUCUACCUUCGAGUGGGGAAUAACUGAGAGAAAUCUUAGCUAAUACCGCAUAAUACCUACGGGUCAAAGCAGCAAUGCGCUUGAAGAGGAGUUCGCGGCAGAUUAGUUAGUUGGGCGGGGUAAUGGCCCACCAAGACGAUGAUCUGUA